AACAAAUGCAAAUGCC
rnacentral:sRNA from 1 species